rnacentral:rRNA from 1 species
UACGAAGGGGGCUAGCGUUGCUCGGAAUGACUGGGCGUAAAGGGCGCGUAGGCGGCGUGAAUAGUCAGGCGUGAAAUUCCUGGGCUCAACCUGGGGGCUGCGCUUGAUACGUUCAUGCUUGAGGAUGGAAGAGGCUCGUGGAAUUCCCAGUGUAGAGGUGAAAUUCGUAGAUAUUGGGAAGAACACCGGUGGCGAAGGCGGCGAGCUGGUCCAUUACUGACGCUGAGGCGCGACAGCGUGGGGAGCAAACAGG